CACACACGGUUAGAAAGAGGCAUGAGACUAAUGAGACGUUAUGGAGUGUCUCCGUGGCGUCUCGGCUUCCCGAUAGAGGGCUUAGAGUUGGAUGCAAUGUUUUAAAAUAAAGGGAUAAUUGAAAAGGUUUUUUGCUUUUAAUGGAUCCAACUUUGUUUUAGGAGUCACCGUUGUCAACGUCAUUGUUGGUGGAAAAGAGGUUAGGCCAGGAGGUAUAUCCGGAGUUUUCUGAGGUUCUUCAGGUGAAAUGCAGCAUUCAGCGUGAUAAAGGUUAGAUCGCAUCCCAUCGCGACAGCUUCGAGGGCUCGGACUAUUUUUGGAAAUCAUAUGAAUAUGGUGCACGCUGGUUGGUUUCGAGUCAUUUAAGUACACUGGAUUGGUAAAGUAUAGGUCUGCCUCGGGGUCUUCUCAUGAAAUAAGAUGAGAAGAUUAGAAGAAGAUGGAGAAUUAUCCACCCACUACAUUUUUUGUGCCGAAUUGAAGUGAUUUGUCUCACAUGGGACUAUUCAACAUUCACAGCUUACGUCUUUUGAGGUUGACUGUCAGCAACGUAGAGUGUUACCUUUCAAAAGGCAAAAAGUUCUCUUUUCACAUUUGCAAGAGCGGGGAAUUCAUGUAGAGGCAAAUGUUUUCCAAUUCACAGCGUAAUUUAUGCUUGUUAGUGGUAUGAAUUGUAUGCAGGGCCCCAAGGAGCGUCACAGAAAAAAUUAAAAAAGGUGUUUACUUCAAGUAAGGAUCCAAAUCAGCUUUGAAGGAACAAAAUUACACACUCAAUAAUUCCAAAGUAAGAGAUCGUCAGUUACACACUGACUGUGUCAGGGAGUUUAUUGGCAGAUAUUUAAAAUAAUAUUCAUAACUAUGUUUUAAUCAGUCAAUAGUCACGAAAAAAUAAGAAUUGUUAUGUUUUCCUUUGCUUCAAAAAAUCCCUAGACACAACCAGCAUGAGCAGAUACACUGCUGCUGUGUGUGUGUGUGGAAUCCAGAUGAAGUGACUCGCCUGUAAAACAAAAGUGACCCACAGUUUUUGAGUUCAAAGACAUUAAUGGUAUUCUUUUUGGCUGGUUUAAAUUGCGUGAGAUCACGUUGAAUGUGCUAUUUGCUACUUUGCUAAUCCCAGCACAAAUUUAAAGAAGUAAAUAAAUGGUAUUUAUACAACAGCACACAAAUGCUAAUCAUGUAUUGUUGAUUGAAGGAUGAAUCUUUUGACCAGCUUAAUCAUUGUGAUACUAUCUUCCUUGGGGGAUCAUUUUGAGUUCAUCCCUCAAAGUAACUGCUGCUUAUCUAUGCAACUGGUACAGUCAGGUCUAACAAGC
ensembl:lncRNA